rnacentral:SRP_RNA from 1 species
AUCGGGGUGGUAGCGGUACCUUGUAACCUUCAAUCCGCUAUAGAGGGGAUGACAACUUGUGCUGAGGAGCAACGCCGUUCGGUCCGGCUCCGAUAAGCGGUGUUGACGAUUCGGUCCUGUGCGAUCAGAACCUGUGAACCAUGUCAGGGCAGGAAUGCAGCAGCAUUAAGCAGUUCUUUCUGAUGUGUUGCAGGGCAGCCGAAUCUGAGCCGGCUGUCGGCAGUACGCGGGUGG